UGUUGUACUGAUGCUUACCUGGUGAUCUUGGCGCCGCGCGAGGGCCUGGUGUCGUCGAGCGUGCAGUAGACCAGCAGCAGGGAGGUGUGCAUGGCUCCGUCCGAGAACAUUGUUGUACUGAUGCUUACCUGGUGAUCUUGGCGCCGCGCGAGGGCCUGGUGUCGUCGAGCGUGCAGUAGACCAGCAGCAGGGAGGUGUGCAUGGCUCCGUCCGAGAACAUUGUUGUACUGAUGCUUACCUGGUGAUCUUGGCGCCGCGCGAGGGCCUGGUGUCGUCGAGCGUGCAGUAGACCAGCAGCAGGGAGGUGUGCAUGGCUCCGUCCGAGAACAUUGUUGUACUGAUGCUUACCUGGUGAUCUUGGCGCCGCGCGAGGGCCUGGUGUCGUCGAGCGUGCAGUAGACCAGCAGCAGGGAGGUGUGCAUGGCUCCGUCCGAGAACAUUGUUGUACUGAUGCUUACCUGGUGAUCUUGG